rnacentral:misc_RNA from 1 species
CAGCUACGGCCACAGUACGCGCGCGAGCGGCAAUAUCGGCUAUCAGUUCUCGCCGGAUUUCGAGACGCGCUUCUACAUUGAUGCCAACGAUGUGCGGCAGCGCAUCCCGGGCUCGGUGACGAGAGCCUCCGCACUCACCUCACCGGAAACGGCAGCGGCUGUGAACGUGGCCAACGAUUGGCAGCGCAAUAUCGAUACCGUGCGUCUGGCUAACAAGACGACGGUCCGGUUCGGUGCCACCACGGUUGAGUUCGGAGCCU